CUCAGAUUGAACGCUGGCGGCAUGCCUUACACAUGCAAGUCGAACGGCAGCACGGGUGCUUGCACCUGGUGGCGAGUGGCGAACGGGUGAGUAAUACAUCGGAACAUGUCCUGUAGUGGGGGAUAGCCCGGCGAAAGCCGGAUUAAUACCGCAUACGAUCCACGGAUGAAAGCGGGGGACCUUCGGGCCUCGCGCUAUAGGGUUGGCCGAUGGCUGAUUAGCUAGUUGGUGGGGUAAAGGCCUACCAAGGCGACGAUCAGUAGCUGGUCUGAGAGGACGACCAGCCACACUGGGACUGAGACACGGCCCAGACUCCUACGGGAGGCAGCAGUGGGGAAUUUUGGACAAUGGGCGAAAGCCUGAUCCAGCAAUGCCGCGUGUGUGAAGAAGGCCUUCGGGUUGUAAAGCACUUUUGUCCGGAAAGAAAUCCUUGGCUCUAAUACAGUCGGGGGAUGACGGUACCGGAAGAAUAAGCACCGGCUAACUACGUGCCAGCAGCCGCGGUAAUACGUAGGGUGCGAGCGUUAAUCGGAAUUACUGGGCGUAAAGCGUGCGCAGGCGGUCUGUUAAGACAGAUGUGAAAUCCCCGGGCUCAACCUGGGAACUGCAUUUGUGACUGGCAGGCUAGAGUAUGGCAGAGGGGGGUAGAAUUCCACGUGUAGCAGUGAAAUGCGUAGAGAUGUGGAGGAAUACCGAUGGCGAAGGCAGCCCCCUGGGCCAAUACUGACGCUCAUGCACGAAAGCGUGGGGAGCAAACAGGAUUAGAUACCCUGGUAGUCCACGCCCUAAACGAUGUCAACUAGUUGUUGGGGAUUCAUUUCCUUAGUAACGUAGCUAACGCGUGAAGUUGACCGCCUGGGGAGUACGGUCGCAAGAUUAAAACUCAAAGGAAUUGACGGGGACCCGCACAAGCGGUGGAUGAUGUGGAUUAAUUCGAUGCAACGCGAAAAACCUUACCUACCCUUGACAUGGUCGGAAUCCUGAAGAGAUUCGGGAGUGCUCGAAAGAGAACCGGCGCACAGGUGCUGCAUGGCUGUCGUCAGCUCGUGUCGUGAGAUGUUGGGUUAAGUCCCGCAACGAGCGCAACCCUUGUCCUUAGUUGCUACGCAAGAGCACUCUAAGGAGACUGCCGGUGACAAACCGGAGGAAGGUGGGGAUGACGUCAAGUCCUCAUGGCCCUUAUGGGUAGGGCUUCACACGUCAUACAAUGGUCGGAACAGAGGGUUGCCAACCCGCGAGGGGGAGCUAAUCCCAGAAAACCGAUCGUAGUCCGGAUUGCACUCUGCAACUCGAGUGCAUGAAGCUGGAAUCGCUAGUAAUCGCGGAUCAGCAUGCCGCGGGUGAAUACGUUCCCGGGUCUUGUACACACCGCCCGUCACACCAUGGGAGUGGGUUUUACCAGAAGUGGCUAGUCUAACCGCAAGGAGGACGGUCACCACGGUAGGAUUCAUGACUGGGGGUGAAGUCGUAACAAGGUAGCCGUAUCGGAAG
rnacentral:rRNA from 1 species